GAUGAACGCUGGCGGCGUGCCUAACACAUGCAAGUCGAGCGAACAGACGAGGAGCUUGCUUCUCUGACGUUAGCGGCGGACGGGUGAGUAACACGUGGAUAACCUACCUAUAAGACUGGGAUCACUUCGGGAAACCGGAGCUAACACCGGAUAAUAUAUUGAACCGCAUGGUUCAUUAGUGAACGACGGUUUUGCUGUCACUUAUAGAUGGAUCCGCGCUGCAUUAGCUAGUUGGUAAGGUAACGGCUUACCAAGGCAACGAUGCGUAGCCGACCUGAGAGGGUGAUCGGCCACACUGGAACUGAGACACGGUCCAGACUCCUACGGGAGGCAGCAGUAGGGAAUCUUCCGCAAUGGGCGAAAGCCUGACGGAGCAACGCCGCGUGAGUGAUGAAGGUCUUCGGAUCGUAAAGCUCUGUUAUUAGGGGAGAACAAAUGUGUAAGUAACUAUGCACGUCUUGACGGUACCUAAUCAGAAAGCCACGGCUAACUACGUG
rnacentral:rRNA from 1 species